rnacentral:rRNA from 1 species
UUAAGUGACUAAGCGUACACGGUGGAUGCCUUGGCAGUCAGAGGCGAUGAAGGACGUAUUAACUUGCGAUAAGCCCAGAUUAGGUAGUAAAAACCAUUUGAGUCUGGGAUUUCCGAAUGGGGAAACCCACUAGCAUAAGCUAGUAUCGCUGCGUGAAUACAUAGCGCAGCGAGGCGAACCGGGGGAACUGAAACAUCUAAGUACCUCGAGGAAAAGAAAUCAACCGAGAUUCCGAAAGUAGCGGCGAGCGAAAUUGGACUAGCCCUUAAGCUUUUUAUGCGUCAGGUGAAACUUCUGGAAAGUUGUGCGAUACAGGGUGAUAGCCCCGUAACCGGCAACGCAUUUAAAGUGAAAUCGAGUAGGGCGGGACACGUGAUAUCCUGUCUGAAUAUGGGGGGACCAUCCUCCAAGGCUAAAUACUACUGACUGACCGAUAGUGAACCAGUACCGUGAGGGAAAGGCGAAAAGAACCCCUGUGAGGGGAGUGAAAUAGAACCUGAAACCGUGUACGUACAAGCAGUAGGAGCACCUUCGUGGUGUGACUGCGUACCUUUUGUAUAAUGGGUCAGCGACUUAUAUUCAGUGGCAAGGUUAACCAUCUAGGGGAGCCGUAGGGAAACCGAGUCUUAACUGGGCGUUCAGUCUCUGGAUAUAGACCCGAAACCAGGUGAUCUAGCCAUGGGCAGGUUGAAGGUUGAGUAACAUCAACUGGAGGACCGAACCGACUAAUGUUGAAAAAUUAGCGGAUGACUUGUGGCUAGGGGUGAAAGGCCAAUCAAACCUGGAGAUAGCUGGUUCUCCCCGAAAGCUAUUUAGGUAGCGCCUCGGACGAAUACUACUGGGGGUAGAGCACUGUUAAGGCUAGGGGGUCAUCCCGACUUACCAACCCUUUGCAAACUCCGAAUACCAGUAAGUACUAUCCGGGAGACACACGGCGGGUGCUAACGUCCGUCGUGGAGAGGGAAACAACCCAGACCGCCAGCUAAGGUCCCAAAUUACUACUAAGUGGGAAACGAUGUGGGAAGGCUCAGACAGCCAGGAUGUUGGCUUAGAAGCAGCCAUCAUUUAAAGAAAGCGUAAUAGCUCACUGGUCGAGUCGGCCUGCGCGGAAGAUGUAACGGGGCUAAGUAGUAAACCGAAGCUGCGGCAAUGCACUUUAGUGCAUUGGGUAGGGGAGCGUUCUGUAAGCGGUUGAAGGUGUGUGGUAACGCAUGCUGGACGUAUCAGAAGUGCGAAUGCUGACAUGAGUAACGAUAAAGGGGGUGAAAAACCUCCUCGCCGGAAGACCAAGGGUUCCUGUCCAACGUUAAUCGGGGCAGGGUAAGUCGACCCCUAAGGCGAGGCCGAAAGGCGUAGUCGAUGGGAAACGGGUUAAUAUUCCCGUACUUCUUACAAUUGCGAUGGGGGGACGGAGAAGGCUAGGUGGGCCUGGCGACGGUUGUCCAGGUUCAAGUGCGUAGGCUUAAGAGUUAGGUAAAUCCGGCUCUUUUUAAGGCUGAGACACGACGUCGAGCUACUACGGUAGUGAAGUCAUUGAUGCCAUGCUUCCAGGAAAAGCCUCUAAGCUUCAGAUUGUAAGGAAUCGUACCCCAAACCGACACAGGUGGUCGGGUAGAGAAUACCAAGGCGCUUGAGAGAACUCGGGUGAAGGAACUAGGCAAAAUGGUACCGUAACUUCGGGAGAAGGUACGCUCUCGACGGUGAAGUCCCUUGCGGAUGGAGCUAUUGAGAGUCGCAGAUACCAGGUGGCUGCAACUGUUUAUUAAAAACACAGCACUGUGCAAAAUCGUAAGAUGACGUAUACGGUGUGACGCCUGCCCGGUGCCGGAAGGUUAAUUGAUGGGGUUAGACUUCGGUCGAAGCUCUUGAUCGAAGCCCCGGUAAACGGCGGCCGUAACUAUAACGGUCCUAAGGUAGCGAAAUUCCUUGUCGGGUAAGUUCCGACCUGCACGAAUGGCGUAAUGAUGGCCACGCUGUCUCCACCCGAGACUCAGUGAAAUUGAAAUCGCUGUGAAGAUGCAGUGUACCCGCGGCUAGACGGAAAGACCCCGUGAACCUUUACUACAGCUUGGCACUGAACAUUGACCCUACAUGUGUAGGAUAGGUGGGAGGCUUUGAAGCACAGUCGCUAGAUUGUGUGGAGCCGUCCUUGAAAUACCACCCUUGUAGUGUUGAUGUUCUAACGUUGACCCCUAAUCGGGGUUGCGGACAGUGCCUGGUGGGUAGUUUGACUGGGGCGGUCUCCUCCCAAAGCGUAACGGAGGAGCACGAAGGUGGGCUAAUCACGGUUGGACAUCGUGAGGUUAGUGCAAUGGCAUAAGCCCGCUUGACUGCGAGAAUGACGGUUCGAGCAGGUGCGAAAGCAGGUCAUAGUGAUCCGGUGGUUCUGAAUGGAAGGGCCAUCGCUCAACGGAUAAAAGGUACUCCGGGGAUAACAGGCUGAUACCGCCCAAGAGUUCAUAUCGACGGCGGUGUUUGGCACCUCGAUGUCGGCUCAUCACAUCCUGGGGCUGAAGUCGGUCCCAAGGGUAUGGCUGUUCGCCAUUUAAAGUGGUACGCGAGCUGGGUUUAGAACGUCGUGAGACAGUUCGGUCCCUAUCUGCCGUGGGCGUUGGAAGAUUGAAGGGGGCUGCUCCUAGUACGAGAGGACCGGAGUGGACGAACCUCUGGUGUUCGGGUUGUGUCGCCAGACGCAUUGCCCGGUAGCUAAGUUCGGAAUCGAUAACCGCUGAAAGCAUCUAAGCGGGAAGCGAGCCCUGAGAUGAGUCUUCCCUGAUACUUUAAGUAUCCUAAAGGGUUGUUCGAGACUAGAACGUUGAUAGGCAGGGUGUGUAAGCGUUGUGAGGCGUUGAGCUAACCUGUACUAAUUGCCCGUGAGGCUUAACCAU